rnacentral:rRNA from 1 species
UCGGAUUGCAGGCUGCAACCCGCCCUGCAUGAAGCUGGAAUCGCUAGUAAUCGCGGAUCAGAAUGCCGCGGUGAAUACGUUCCCGGGUCUUGUACACACCGCCCGUCACACCAUGGGAGUCGGUAACGCCCGAAGUCAGUGACCCAACCUUAAGGAGGGAGCUGCCGAAGGCGGGACUGGUAACUGGGGUGAAGUCGUAACAAGGUAUC